GACGAACGCUGGCGGCGUGCCUAAUACAUGCAAGUAGAACGCUGAAGAGAGGAGCUUGCUCUUCAUGGAUGAGUUGCGAACGGGUGAGUAACGCGUAGGUAACCUGCCUUGUAGCGGGGGAUAACUAUUGGAAACGAUAGCUAAUACCGCAUAACAAUGGAUGACACAUGUCCUUUAUUUGAAAGGGGCAAUUGCUCCACUACAAGAUGGACCUGCGUUGUAUUAGCUAGUAGGUGAGGUAAUGGCUCACCUAGGCGACGAUACAUAGCCGACCUGAGAGGGUGGUCGGCCCAACUGGGACUGAGACACGGCCCAGACUCCUACGGGAGGCAGCAGUAGGGAAUCUUCGGCAAUGGGGGCAACCCUGACCGAGCACCGCCGCGUGAGUGAAGAAGGGUUUCGGAUCGUAAAGCUCUGUUGUAAGUCAAGAACGGGUGUGAGAGUGGAAAGUUCACACUGUGACGGUAGCUUACCAGAAAGGGACGGCUAACUACGUG
rnacentral:rRNA from 1 species